CCCAUUUUUAAUGGGUUUUUUAAUGAGUUUAAGUUAAAAUAAAUUUGAGUAAUGUUUUUCAUUUUACAGACAAUUACUUGACAAACUGUAUUAUCUUAGAUACAAUUGGUAAAUUGUCAUAUUGUCAUAUUAUUUAUACAAUAACCCACGUGAAGCUCUUGUCUCAGUCAAUGGCGUGAAGCAGCUGUGCUUGUAUGUCUAGGCAUGACCUAUCCAAAUUUGUUGUCACAUAUACACAAAUAUACGUAUGUUGUGAACUGAGGUUGGCUCGGUUGAAAAACCGUAUUUUAGAGUUGACGUUAUCAUUUGGCUUAUUUUUUUUUAAUUAUUAAAUAUAUAACUCAAGAGAUUAAAGUACAAUAAUCUAUUAAACUAAAA